AUUGAACGCUGGCGGCAUGCUUUACACAUGCAAGUCGAACGGUAACAGGCCGCAAGGUGCUGACGAGUGGCGAACGGGUGAGUAAUGCAUCGGAACGUGCCCAGUCGUGGGGGAUAACUACUCGAAAGAGUAGCUAAUACCGCAUACGAUCUAUGGAUGAAAGCGGGGGACCGUAAGGCCUCGCGCGAUUGGAGCGGCCGAUGUCAGAUUAGGUAGUUGGUGGGGUAAAGGCUCACCAAGCCAACGAUCUGUAGCUGGUCUGAGAGGACGACCGGCCACACUGGGACUGGGACACGGCCCAGACUCCUACGGGAGGCAGCAGUGGGGAAUUUUGGACAAUGGGCGCAAGCCUGAUCCAGCAAUGCCGCGUGCAGGAAGAAGGCCUUCGGGUUGUAAACUGCUUUUGUACGGAACGAAACGGCUCUGGUUAAUACCCGGGGCUAAUGACGGUACCGUAAGAAUAAGCACCGGCUAACUACGUG
rnacentral:rRNA from 1 species